AUGGCUUCAGAACCAGAGACACCACGAAUAACCGAGCUCCAUGUAAGGAUGGACUGCAACGGGUGCGUGCACAAGAUCAGGAAGACCCUGAGCGGCAUUGACGGCGUAGGCGAGGUACAUGUUGAUCAAGCUAACCACAAGAUCACGGUGGUGGGGAUCGCUGAUCCUGCGAGGAUCGUCAAGGCCAUCAGGAAGGCCAACAGGGUUCCAACCAUCUGCUCACACACCGACCCUGCAGCAGCUCCGGCGCCACCCGCGGAAGGGGGAGAAGCCCCGCCUGCUGAUCCGCCUCCGCCUCCACCCGCGGAAGGGGAAGCACCGCCGCCAGCACCUGCCGACCCACCGCCUGCGGAAGAGGCCCCAGCAGAACCCCCGGCAGCAGAGAACAAAGAGGCGCCGCCGGCUGAAACGCCAGCCACCACCAUGAUAUACGUGGUGCGUGAUUACCCAUACAGCUACCAUGCGUACAGAGGUCACUGGGCAAACCAUCCGAGCAACAUUCAUGGCGUCCGAUACGAUGCUGCUGCACCAUAUUACGCAGCACAUAGUCGUAGGCUCGUAGCUACAGUCCUUACAUAUCAGAGUACGGACAUGCGGGCUCUUCAGCCCAAGAAGGAAGAUGCCACUACCAUCCAGCGGCUGCUACGGGAAGAGGAGAUGGAAGCCAGAUCACUUCGAUGUUCAGCGAGGAGAAUCCCAACGCAUGCAGCAUAG
rnacentral:rRNA from 1 species